UCCCGUUUAGCUCAGCUGGUAGAGCGCGUCACUAGUAAGUCACGUGGGCUUUAGCCCCUUACUCAUGACGAGGUCAGUCGUUCAAGUCGGCUAAUGGGAA